UAUGAAGUAGUGGGUCAAGGGGAAGGAGCCCCUCCCUUGUAUGUAAUAGCUCAUUUUUACUGUAGAUGGAUAACAAAUUUUUAUAGGGGUUGUGCUAUUCUACAAUUAAUUAUAGUUCAGGUUUGGUUUCAUCAUUUGUGUUGUGUUUUAUGUCAAAUUAAUUCCUUCUUUAUUUACAGGUUACUGGGACAAACAGCUUGACUGAUUUGUUGACCAAGACUGUUUGUAGUUUGGGCUUUGUUCAACCAUAAACAAAGGAUGGCUGAACAACUAUGUCCCCUGGAUCUUUCAACUAAACCUCUUUCAGGUUUAGCCAUGAAGCUGCCUAAAAGUGCACCUUAUAACAUGCCGAAGACUGUUAUAAAGGUAUCAAUGAAGUCAAGAUCCCAUUCCUGCGAGCCACACAGUGACAAAAUAAAUGACCACAGGACAUAUCUCCCAAGCCAGCAUGUGGAGGUGGAGGUAAAUGUUGAAGAGCUAGCUCCACCUGAGGCCUCUG